UACGGAGGGUGCGAGCGUUGUCCGGAAUCAUUGGGCGUAAAGGGCGCGUAGGUGGCGGGACAAGCGUGCGGUGAAAGCUCGGGGCUCAACCCCGAGUCGGCCGUGCGAACUGUUUUGCUUGAGCACUGUAGAGGCAGGCGGAAUUCCAGGUGUAGCGGUGGAAUGCGUAGAGAUCCGGAAGAACACCGGUGGCGAAGGCGGCCUGCUGGGCAGUAGCUGACACUGAGGCACGAAAGCGUGGGGAGCAAACAGG
rnacentral:rRNA from 1 species